rnacentral:rRNA from 1 species
CCGCAGUAGUCAUAUGCUUGUCUCAAAGAUUAAGCCAUGCAUGUCUAAGUACGUGCCGUAUUAAGGCGAAACCGCGAAUGGCUCAUUAAAUCAGUUAUGGUUCCUUGGAUCGUACUUUACUACUUGGAUAACUGUGGCAAUUCUAGAGCUAAUACAUGCAGCAGAGCUCCGACCUUCGGGGACGAGCGCUUUUAUUAGACCAAAACCAAUCGGGCCUCGUGUCCGUGAAACGUGGUGACUCUGUAUAACUUUGGGCUGAUCGCACGGGCUCGUCCCGGCGACGUAUCCUUCAAGUGUCUGCCUUAUCAACUGUCGAUGGUAGGUUAUGCGCCUACCAUGGUCGUAACGGGUGACGGGGAAUCAGGGUUCGAUUCCGGAGAGGGAGCCUGAGAAACGGCUACCACAUCCAAGGAAGGCAGCAGGCGCGCAAAUUACCCAAUCCCGGCACGGGGAGGUAGUGACGAAAAAUAACAAUACGGGACUCUUUUGAGACCCCGUAAUUGGAAUGAGUACACUCUAAAUCCUUUAACGAUUAUCAAUUGGAGGGCAAGCCUAGUGCCAGCAGCCGCGGUAAUUCUAGCUCCAAUAGCGUAUAUUAAAGUUGUUGCGGUUAAAAAGCUCGUAGUUGGAUCUCAGUUCCAGACGGGCGGUCCGCCUACCGGCGGUCACUGCCCGUUCUGAACAGGCCAGCCGGUUUCCCUUGAUGAUCUUCACCGGUUGUCUCGGGUGACCGGCAAGUUUACUUUGAAAAAAUUAGAGUGCUCAAAGCAGGCGCGACGCCUGAACAAUGGUGCAUGGAAUAAUGGAAUAGGACCUCGGUUCUAUUUUGUUGGUUUUCGGGACACGAGGUAAUGAUUAAGAGGGACAGACGGGGGCAUUCGUAUUGCGACGCUAGAGGUGAAAUUCUUGGACCGUCGCAAGACGACUAUGA